UAUAGCCAGUUGCACUGGAACUUGCCAGAUAGAAACACAACAUAUUUAAGUUCUUCGACCCAAGGAACAGAGAUUUUUAUGGCAUUUUGUGUUGAAAGGCGAAUUCGGACCAGAAAAACAGAGAAAUAUUUUUAUUUCCAGAUGUCAAAAAAGAAUGCAAGAAGUUAAGUGUUUGGCGCGAUGCAGACACUGAGAUGUUACAGGUUUUGUGGCUGGAAUGGAUCGUAAAUGCAGAUAAUGCCGUCUGUUUGGGCAAACUUAAGAGACACUAAAGACUGCGCUUUCUGAUGACAAAAAUUAGGGUGCAAUAAAGGCAGCUUGCAAUUGUGGUUCUUCCCAACAAGUAAGUUCGAAAGGCAAACAAAGAUGGAGUGUCGAUAGCACUUAAAAUCGAAGAACGGAUUAAAAGCCUGGUUACCUAAACUUGAAUAGAGCUCUGUUCAACGUCGUGUACCUGCAGACUAACCAAAAGAAAAAAAAACGGCGGAAUUUAAUUAUGAUGCUUCGUCGUCCGUCUGUCUGUCCGAGGUUUCUUGUAUUAAAUGUCGACUGGGAAUACCAAGCCACGCUGGGUUAGCAAUGGCGCAAAAUCAGCAGCUCCCUCGAUGGAUUGGAUUGGUUUAGUUAUAAGUUUUCUUUCAACUUUUAGCCUUUUGUUGUUAAUUUUUUGCUUAAUUAUUUUAAGGCUUCCAAUUUUGUUAAAAAAGUUUGUAUUUCGUGUUGUUAGUAUAUGUGUUUCAAACAAAUAAAAACAUUGAAUUCACUUCUCAACAAGUGGCUCAUCACCAAAAA
rnacentral:sRNA from 1 species